UGCGUAGGCGGCUCUCUAAGUCGGAUGUGAAAACCCUGGGCUCAACCCAGAGCCUGCAUCCGAAACUGGAGGGCUAGGGUUCUGGAGGGGAAAGCGGAAUUCCUGGUGUAGCGGUGAAAUGCGUAGAUAUCAGGAGGAACACCGGUAGCGAAGGCGGCUUUCUGGACAGAUACCGACGCUGAGGCACGAAAGCUAGGGGAGCAAACA
rnacentral:rRNA from 1 species